GACGAACGCUGGCGGCGUGCUUAACACAUGCAAGUCGAACGGAAAGGCCCUGCUUUUGUGGGGUGCUCGAGUGGCGAACGGGUGAGUAACACGUGAGUAACCUGCCCUUGACUUUGGGAUAACUUCAGGGAACUGGGGCUAAUACCGGAUAGGAGCUCCUGCUGCAUGGUGGGGGUUGGAAAGUUUCGGCGGUUGGGGAUGGACUCGCGGCUUAUCAGCUUGUUGGUGGGGUAGUGGCUUACCAAGGCUUUGACGGGUAGCCGGCCUGAGAGGGUGACCGGCCACAUUGGGACUGAGAUACGGCCCAGACUCCUACGGGAGGCAACAGUGGGGAAUAUUGCACAAUGGGCGGAAGCCUGAUGCAGCAACGCCGCGUGCGGGAUGACGGCCUUCGGGUUGUAAACCGCUUUCGCCUGUGACGAAGCGUGAGUGACGGUAAUGGGUAAAGAAGCACCGGCUAACUACGU
rnacentral:rRNA from 1 species